GCGGGGCCUGCCGCCGCCACCGCCUCAGGGAAGAGGAAGGAGGCCGCGGCUUCGCGUCCCGCCUCUCGCCUGGCUGGCCGUGGGGGGCCUGGACGCAGUGGCCUCCCGAAUCUCCCAGGACCCUAAUAUCGCCCGAGGAUGCUGGGAGGAACGCUGAGCCGACCUCUCCGUUAGGCUGAAGAUUGCACAAACCAUGCUAAUGGCCAGCAUGGAUGGAGGGAGCGUGUGAGAUGUGUGGGGCAGCGUGCUGCAUCUCAGCCAACUCCAGGAGCCAGUUGAUGUGAUGGACUACCUUAAUUGAUUUUUGAAUGUUGAGCCAGCCUUAUGCAUGUGGGAUAAACCCCUGUUGAUCAUGGACAUUUUUAAAUUCUAGGUAUAGAGCAAUAAAAGAAGAAUUCAAGCAAAGGGAUCAGGAAGAGGAUUGCUACUAAGAGGCAGAGAAACCAAUGAAGCCUUUUGCCAUCUCACACUGGAAAGACAAAAAGUCAUAGAGGCUUGAUUUUUAUAAGGAAAGAGAAGUGAGAAACUGACCUCGAUACUUUGUUGGACUUGCCUAAAGACAUUUGCUGAAUUCUCGGGCUGUGCUGGGAUGGAGAUUAGAGGCCAAAUAAAAACCUCUGGAGCUCCCAGGCCUCUACAGUUUGCUGGGUCCCAUUACUUUCUGAGACAGGAAGCAUGCUCAUGGCAAUACCCGGAGUCUCCACUGCAAGACCAGAGUGACGGAGGCAGCAGAGCUCCUCAGCAGGCCAGGAGUCUCCAGAGGCACUGCCGAAUGUCUAAGAAGCAACCUCAUUGUAUUCCCAAGACCUGGGAAUCCAGGUCUCGCAGAUACGAUGAUACAAUCUAUAGCCAGGACAUCUCUUCAUGUGUAGUUUUCAAUGAAUACUAGGAUAAGCAACUAUCCCAGUCUUCCCAGGAUUGAGGGGCUUCUCCAGAUGCUGCACUUCUGGUGCUAAAAAUGAGAAACUGAAAUGAAUUAGUCACCCAAGGAAUGCUGACCCUGUGCUAUAUGAUCACAUUUACUCUUUAAAGCAAUGCUUUGAGAACAAUUGAGCUGCAUAGUCCCUGCAAUCUUAUAAAGGCAUUUGGCCUGGAAGAUGCUCUGCAGCCAUGUGCCAAGAAUAACGGCUAUAGGGACAAUGUUUCAUUAACCCCAAAGCAGCAACCUGAACCUCUUACUGUACAAUAUCUGCUCCGUUCAGAAUUAGCUCGACUUGAGUCACAGGAUGAAGCUUACCAAAAGGAAUUUCCACGUCCAAGGAAGGAACCAAGAUCACUGAGAGGUUAUAGUAUGAAAAGUGAAGAGAAAAAACCUAUUCUAAACAUUUUAUUAAUUGUCAAUAAUUAUUUUAAAAUAUUUAAUAUAGUCUCCUACCUGGUCCACUGGCAUCAAGCUGCCAAAUUUACACGGUCACUUUGGGAAGCCAGCUGGCAGGCAAACAUGGAAAGUGCUGGCUCCUAGCGUAGUGAGAAGACCACAGAUAGAUGGUAAUUUUCUUCUUUGUUUUAUUUUUCUUUUUCUUCUCUCCCUCUUUUUCUUCCCUCUUGCCUUUCCCUCCCAUUGCCCACUUUCUUUUUUUGGCUGCCGAAGAUUUAUUGCCUUUCAGUACUUAUAGAUGAUGUUUUCAUAAGUUCUAAUGAGGUCCCAGCAGUUUUUAACAAUAACAGGACAUUACUGUUCCUAAGAUAUAUUAUGUGUUUUCCCUCAUCUUUCUCCCUUGAAUGAAAUGCUUAGAAGUAGGCUAACCCCCAAUUCCCUUCCCUUUACUAUGAUAAAUGGCUCCAUUACUUAAUAGGGCUAAAUACUCUGCUGUGACUUUUAUACUGCUGAUUUGAAUAAAAUCUUACGAAAAGCUUUUCUCGUGU
rnacentral:lncRNA from 1 species